UACGUAGGGGGCUAGCGUUGUCCGGAAUCAUUGGGCGUAAAGAGCGUGUAGGCGGCCCGGUAAGUCCGCUGUGAAAGUCGGGGGCUCAACCCUCGAAUGCCGGUGGAUACUGUCGGGCUAGAGUGCGGAAGAGGCGAGUGGAAUUCCUGGUGUAGCGGUGAAAUGCGCAGAUAUCAGGAGGAACACCGGUGGCGAAGGCGGGUCUCUGGGCAGUAACUGACGCUGAGGAGCGAAAGCGUGGGUAGCGAACAGG
rnacentral:rRNA from 1 species